UGCGCAGGCGGGUUUGUAAGUCAGUGGUGAAAUAUUGUCGCUUAACGAUAAGGUUGCCAUUGAUACUGCAGGUCUUGAGUUUGGUUGAGGUAGGCGGAAUGUGCAGUGUAGCGGUGAAAUGCAUAGAGAUUGCACAGAACACCGAUUGCGGAGGCAGCUUACUAAGCCAAAACUGACGCUGAGGCACGAAAGCGUGGGGAGCGAACAGGAUUAGAUACCCUGGUAGUCC
rnacentral:rRNA from 1 species